rnacentral:lncRNA from 1 species
ACACUUACCAGGAGCCCAGCAAGCUCUUCCUUAGGCUGAAGCCAUCCUGACUCAAAUCUGCAAGAGACUCGGGUAUCUUGAGGGUGCUAAAUCAAGUUUAGCCUAAAGCUGCCUCCUUACAUAUUUUAAGUUCGGCCUAAAGGUUUUUCUGCACAUCAUGAACCAUAACAAGGAGAGGUGUAAGUAGACCGUAGCCUACACUUGUGCCAGUCACUGAGUUUCGGCCAAUCAAACAUAGCCAACUGUUCAAACUGUGUUCAAAUAAGGCAAAUGCUGAGCCAUAACCAAUCCAAUGUCCCUUCAAUGUCCAUAAAUCUUCUUCCAACCAAAUGGUUGUGCUGGAGCCUCUGAACCUACUCUGACUCAGAAGGCAGACUGAUUCGCAAUUCAUUCAUUGCUCAAAGACUUUUAAAUUUAAUUUGGCUGAAGUUUUUAUUUUAUCAAGGGUUACCCCACAGCAAGAGCCCCUACAGAAGCCCGCACGUCAUGCUUGCCAUCCGCCUUCCUUCUCUCUCAACAAAGAAGGAGACCAGGAUUUGGAAUAGUGGAACCCAAUUUUUUAAAAGUCGACAACUCCUGGAAGCCACUGUAGCGACUCGGAAUCAACAUUCUCAGGACCCCAUCCGGGACGCCGCUGUGCAUGCAGCUGUCACAUCUCCCUGGACCCCCCUCUGCUGGCAGUUUCUCAGAUUUUCCUUGUUUUCGAUGACUGGGAUAGUUUUGAAGAGUAAUGGUCAGGCAUGCUGUAGAAUUUCUCUCAGUUGGGGUUUUUCUGAUGAUCUGAUUGGGAUUAUGGAAUUUGGGGAAGAAGACCAUAGAAGUAAAGUGCUAUUUUUAUUACACCCUGCCAA